rnacentral:lncRNA from 1 species
CUCUCUCUCUCUCUCUCCUCCAUUUGCUCUUUUUUUUUUUCUCUCAUCUUCUUUUUCCUCUUCUUCUUCCUUCUCUUUCUUCCUCUUUUCUUUCCCUUUUUUUUUCUUUAUACUCUACUUUUCUCUAGUCUCACAAUCGAACCCUUUCUAUCUUCUCUUCCUUUCCUCCCUCUCCUUUUUCCCUUCUCUUUUCUCUUUCCUCCUCCUAUUUUCUUCCGUUCUCUCCCGUAGCUACAACCUUCUCUUCCUUUCCUCUCUCUUCUUUCUCCGUUCUCUUCGUCUCUUUCCUUCUUCUCUAUUCUUCCCUUCUUUCCCACAACCGUAGCCACCUCCUUUUUUUUUCUCCUCUCUUUUCUCCCUUCUCUUCCUCUCUAUUCUUCCCUUCUCCCCCAUAGCUGCAACCUUUUCUUCUCUUCUCCUCCUCCCCUUUCUUCCUCUCUUUCUGUCUUCUCUAUUCUUCCCUUCUCCGUCACAGUCGUAGGCUUCUCGUCUCUUCUCCUCCUCCCGUUUCUCACUUCUCUUCCUCUCUUUCCUUCUCCCCCACAGUGGCAACCAUCUCUUCUCCUCCUCCCGUUUCUCACUUCUCUUCCUCUCUUUCCUUCUUAUCUGUUCUUCCCUUCUCACCCACUGCUGUAGCCUUCUCUUCUCUUCUUCCCCUUUGUCCCUUCUCUUCCUUUCUUUCCUUCUUCUCUAUUAUUCCCUUCUCUCCCACAACCAUAGCCUUCUCUUCUCUUCCUCCCCUUUCUCCUUUCCAUUCCUCUCUUUCCUUCUUCUCUAUUCUUCCCGUCUCCCCCAUAGCCGUAGCCUUCUCUUCUCUUCUCCUUCUCUCCUUUCUGCCUUCUCUUCCACCGAUGCAUCCUCU